ACGCUGGCGGCGUGCUUAACACAUGCAAGUCGAACGAUGAAGCCCAGCUUGCUGGGUGGAUUAGUGGCGAACGGGUGAGUAACACGUGAGUAACCUGCCCUUGACUCUGGGAUAAGCACUGGAAACGGUGUCUAAUACCGGAUAUUUCAGCUGGCCGCAUGGUCUGGUUGUGGAAAGAAUUUUGGUCAAGGAUGGACUCGCGGCCUAUCAGGUUGUUGGUGAGGUAAUGGCUCACCAAGCCUACGACGGGUAGCCGGCCUGAGAGGGUGACCGGCCACACUGGGACUGAGACACGGCCCAGACUCCUACGGGAGGCAGCAGUGGGGAAUAUUGCACAAUGGGCGAAAGCCUGAUGCAGCAACGCCGCGUGAGGGACGACGGCCUUCGGGUUGUAAACCUCUUUUAGUAGGGAAGAAGCGAAAGUGACGGUACCUGCAGAAAAAGCACCGGCUAACUACGUGCCAGCAGCCGCGGUAAUACGUAGGGUGCAAGCGUUGUCCGGAAUUAUUGGGCGUAAAGAGCUCGUAGGCGGUUUGUCGCGUCUGCUGUGAAAACUGGAGGCUCAACCUCCAGCCUGCAGUGGGUACGGGCAGACUAGAGUGCGGUAGGGGAGAUUGGAAUUCCUGGUGUAGCGGUGGAAUGCGCAGAUAUCAGGAGGAACACCGAUGGCGAAGGCAGAUCUCUGGGCCGUAACUGACGCUGAGGAGCGAAAGCAUGGGGAGCGAAC
rnacentral:rRNA from 1 species